rnacentral:misc_RNA from 1 species
ACUGAAGUACAUAUAGCCG